ACACGACUACAUUAGAUACCCCUGUAGUCCUAGGCGUAAAUGAUGCGAGUUAAGUGGUGGGGGCAUCUACGAGAUGGCCCUGUGCCGUAGGGAAGCCGUGAAGCGAGCCACCUGGGAAGUACGGCCGCAAGGCUGAAACUUAAAGGAAUUGGCGGGGGAGCACCACAACGGGUGGAGCUUGCGGUUUAAUUGGAUUCAACGCCGGACAACUCACCAGGAGCGACGGUUACAUGAAGGCCAGGCUGAUGACCUUGCCUGAUUUUCCG
rnacentral:rRNA from 1 species